AGUUAUAUGAACAGAAUGGAGGAAAGCAUUUCCUGGGUCACUGAGUUUUGUCCGGAGCUACCUAAAGGAACUAAUUCCCACAUCACCCUUCACCAAGCGACCAAGCUCUUGCAGAAGGCAGAAGCAUGAGCAUCACCCCAACACCACUCUCCCCUCUGAGAAGGUGCAACGUUCAAUGCAGCAUCGCUGAAAUGCACACACCAGGGCUGAACUGCAGCUCUCCCAUCCCUCAGCACACCGGGGCGAUCUGCGCCUCCUGCUCACUCAUCUUCCUGCGCUGGCCACACCAACCCACUCCAGCCUUGCCAAGUGAUAAACCCUUGGCCUCUCACAUUCAUCUGGCCGAUAAGGGAUGGCCUCCGCACCGCGGCCGAUUAAUCCGAGUUGAGUGCACUUCCUUCGGCCAGAGGACACCAAUUACCGCGAAGGCACCGGCAGCACAAUGCAGGCGAACAUCUGACAGCCCGGGUCCUGCCAGCUCCGCAUUGUCCUCCCGUCAGGCGCUGUCAGUUCCCAGCCUUAAUUACAUCCUGUUUACAAACACUCGGCCGGACUUCAGAUGGAGCCUUAACAAAGGUUGACAAAGAGAUAGGGGAAAAUAAUGUUCGCUGCAACCUGUUGAUGUUCAGUGUGAACAAAAACCCAAAAAGGAAAAAAAAAUAGGAAGCAUUUGAAAUUUACAGCUGGGUUUCCUUGCAUGGGAACGAGGAAACCAGGCACCUCUGUAAGCCAACGCUCCAGUAUCAUCUUUCUCCAUCUUAAGACAGAUGAGCACUGACAUGAACUGAAUCUCAUCCAAAAUUCAAGCUUCCAGAAGGGUGCUCCAUCUUAAACUCGACAGCAAGGCUGACAGAUGGGCUUGAUAGUUUUUUUCUUUUGCAAGUAAUAAAAAAGGAACAUUACACUUCACACGAAACCAGAGCACUGCCUCGAAACAACAGUGUUUGCUUGGCUAUAAAAAUAGUUACUGUUCUGCCAGGCCCAGAAUCAAAGCAUUUGUAUUAAUGUGUUUCCUCUUUUAAUAAAUAAAUCCAAUAUUUUAAAAUU
rnacentral:lncRNA from 7 species